GGCCUGUGAUGCCCAAUCAUUUGUCCGUACCAUCUGAGAAUUCUCUCUGAAGCAUUCUUUAACUAUUCAAUCUGAGGCCU